rnacentral:lncRNA from 1 species
AAAAAAAAAAAGAGGUAGAAAUCAGUAAUUAUUUGGCCACUCCUCUUAUUUGGCAUGAAAAAUGUUUGACCGUUUUUUCUUUUGCCUGAAAAAAAAAACGCUUCAGUGUUCUGGAUGUGUGUAAAAUUUGGUCGAGAGAUUACACCCGAAGAGCUCUAAAAAUACAAUGCUCCAGAAUGUCUGUUUUUUUUAAGCUGUUGGGAGCGUCUAAAGUUCCUGGGAUGUUUUUUCUCUAUGAAUUCUUACACGCACUUGAAACGUCUAGGCAUCCUCCUUAAUUACAGAAAGAAAUUAUUUGAUGUCUUUUCAGAUUUACUGUUUUGAGAUGUGUGCUCCGGAAGCAAUUUUUGCCUACUAACCUGGCUAUGGAUUAACCGCAGCCAUGGUAAAAAAAAGCUAUUAUAAAGGGACCUAUGUAACUUCAUGCAUUGAUGCACGUCAAAUGUUGAAAUUUCAUUCCUCACCGAUUCAUGAUGGCAAACACAUAUAUACCCACUCUUAAAAUACCUGGUAGCGGAAUGGUAAAAUAAUUUAGUUAUCCAAACAUUCAUGGAAAUGGUAGAAUAAUAACUGCCCCUGUCCCCAAAUUGAUGGUGUAUAAGCUGAGUAAAAAAUCCAAUGAUUUUUAAGUUUGGCCAAGCAUAUAUAGAAAUAUGAGGGGAAAAAUACCAAAUCAAAAUUAAUAUAUCCAUUGUUUGAUAUAUUUUCCUAAUAUAUAUACUCAAUGUUGUAGUUGUUGAUAGUUUCUUAUAUAUAUUUUGGUUGAACUUAGAUAUAGUUGGCUUUUUAACUGAAUUUAUACGCCAUAUUUGGUGACAAGGGGGUACCUUCUCAGAAAUGAAGAAAAAAGGUUAUCUGGAAUAUUCUUUCCUCUCCUUGUAGAGCAGCCCACCAUCUACCUUACAUGGCCCUCCAUACAUGGACUUCAGGGCUGAACUAUGGGCUUAUCUUGGCUAGUUGCCAGCACAAAAUUCUCUCUCCCCUGAAAAAGAGCAAAGGAUUCUCUCUGCAAAAGGAAAAAAGAAACCAACAAUGAACUGAUAUACUUUUUUCACAAGGACAUAUGAUUUAUUUUACUGACCCAGAACCCACCAAGGCGUCGAACAAACAACACACCAAAAUCUCAUACGAGAACUGCGAAUGCAGCUAUGAAAGGCGUAUCAAGAAAUAAAUCCAAAGGUUUUUUUUUUCUUCAAUACGACAGGUUUCCAUCAUUGCGAUAAGGGAACAACCUGACCCGACUCUUGGUCUUAAUCACACCGAAGAUCUAAGCAAAUGUUCUGACAAUAGAUGGUGGCACCCGACAUUGCUCCUCUUGUAGCUUCGCUCUUGUUGAAAAGAUGGCAUGCCCUGGAGCAAAAUACUCUAAAUCCCUUGUGCGGUUUGGAGUAAACUUCAUCUAUGUGAUGAUAUCAAAGCUAGAUAGUAGUAUUUACACUCACCAUGCAAGGCACUGGUCAUCGAGAAACUCGGUCUAGUACACAUGGAGAUCGCCGUCGAUUGAUCACGUCGAACAUAUGGCAAGGGCGAGGAAGGCAAAGCCUCAGACACAACCUAGCACGCCGACGCACACACUUAAUCUAUGAAUCGCUCUUUUAAGUUUACCAACAUUGUACUCUAGUAUGUCCCAUGUCAAGAUAUUAUUAUUGUUAGACCCAUGCCUAUAUUUAGAUGCCGGUAUUGUAUCCUAGUGGACUUUGGUGGCUUGGUCACUUGAAUAGUGUGUGCACGGUUUUAGUCCGCAUGGCCGUGUCCACGUCUGGAUCGCGUGCACUAGAAUCAUCUUGGUUUGCUCAACACCGGCUCGGGAUGGAUUAUUGCUGCUCUUUCUCUUCUCUUCUCUUUUUGAUUUACAUCUGCCUUGGCAUAUCCUCGGUCUUGUUUGACUUUGCUAGUCGCCAGAGUGAUUUUUGUGUGUGUGCGUGCGUGUUCGUGUGGAUUGUGUGCAUCCUAACUAUGUAGAGACCGGAUUUGUGCUCUUUGUGUUUGUAUCUUCUUGAUGCUUCAUUUUUGAGCUAAUAAAAUCCACCCUUUGUCAAAAAAUCCUAACGCUCCUUUGCCAGUCUACCAAGACAUAUAGAUAUUUGCAUGACACUAGAUAUAUAAAUAUUUCAAACUAAAAUCACCAUUGAAAAAUAGCUCUUCAGUUUAGCACAAAAACAACAUAUGUAAUGAUAAAUCAUUUCAUUAUUUUGCACUUGCAAAAGUCUCGAAGUUCACAUUUAACACUUUUUAGCAUUGACAUAGACAUAUAACCAUUUGGGACUAUUUAUUUGAUAUACGCAAUAGCAAACAAAUUUAAAAAAUAAUAUAAUAAAAAGUGUACACGUAAUCAAAUGGCAUAUAAUUUUUCAGAAGAACUAAGUUAUAAAAGCAAUAAAGUUUAGUAUAAAGAAUUGUAAAUUGCUAAAUAUUCUUUAGCUCUUACUUUAUUUUAUUUGGGACUAUUUAUUUGAUAGUUUACUCAAUUUCAAGUAAUAUUUAUUUGAUUUUUUGUACCAAUAACGUACUAAAAAUGUAAAAAAAUAUUCACCGUGUAUAUCAAUGUUUAGACUAUAUGUACGUUAAAAAAAUUUAAAAAAUAUAUUUAAAAGGUUAUAAGAUUUUUGACGGGUGGACUAAACUCUGGUGGCCUACGGUUUAUACAAGUAUAACAGAAGUUUUGUAUAAAGUUAAUGGUAUCUACCCAGAAAGGUCAGUCAAAAUAACUAAGAAUGCGGAGUGGAAAAAGGCUUAAGGCUAAUUUAAAACACAAAAAUAAAUAAUAAAAGUUUAAGAGAUAUCCCAAAUUUUUAGAAUUAAAAAUCAAUUAAAAUAAUUACAAUAAUGAUUAUAUUAAAAAAUAAAGAAAAUGAUAUGAAUUAUUGAAAAUUCAUUAAAAGUAAAAUAAACAAAACAAUAUGUAAUGGGAUACAAUACCAAUUAUUUAUACAUGAUACACAUGGCAAUAACAAAUGUUAAACAUAAACAAAAGUAACAAUGUUGUAUUUUAAAAAAUAAAAUAUUAACAAAGACUACAAGAAAUUUCAACAACAACAAAAUAAUAAAACAACAAAAAAAAUAAUGUCACUUGCAGCAUAUAACAAAAGAAAAAUAAUUUUUUCACUAACUAACCUUAAAAUCAAAAAAGGUCCACAAACUACACCUAAACAAUAACAGGAAAAUUUGAGAAACCCAAGUGGAAACAUAACACUUAGUUAAAUGGAGAUCACUAUUUUAUAUUUACCAAAAAAUAAUAAUACCUGAGAAAGUAAAAGGGUAAAGUAUGGUCAGAACAAAAAUCUAAAAAUUACAAAGGCAUUAGGAAGUAAGGACGCCGAUACCACCACGACAGUGUAGAAGAGUGAAAUACAAUUCAUUUAAAUUUAUUAAAAAUUAUAGAUUAGGUAACCAAAACUAAAUUUACGAUAACUAAAAUUACCAAUGAAGGAUGAUGAAAAUUAGUGAAUGAAUCUCAACACGUGAUCCAGUUGUUCAAUAACUUGAAUGAAGCCCAAAAGAAUUUAAUUAACUGUAAUUAGCAACUCAGUAUUUUUUUGUGAAAAUAAUUUAGAUCCAUUGUAAAGGUUCAUCAGAGUACAAUGCAACCAAACAUAAUAAUAAUUACAUUGUCUAUGGACCACCGAACGACCACUACCGCCGCUAGAAGGAGCCACCAAAACGCCAGUUUGGCCAUGAAUUUAACUAAUAAAAGGUAAACAAUAUAUCACCAAAAUUAUAUAGUGAGAAAUUUUUAAAAACAAAUUCAAUAGUAUUUUCUGGUAGCAUACACUUUAUAGUCUGUUAAUAUUGAUUGUCAAAUUUUGGCCCAAAAUACGAGGGACAUAAUAAUACCCGAUAGAGGAGCUGAUGUAUGUAAAUGCAACUAAAACGGGAAAUUAACAUACGAACCUUCUGUUGAAAGAGCUGGCAUUUCUGGACCCCGAGCUAUAUGCCCCCGCAUCAAAAGUAAAUUUGAUUAAAAAAGUAUGAAAUCUGAAAUAUCUUGGCAUGGAAAGUUCUUUUUCUUAGGGGACACAUGAAAAAUUCUUGAGUGUUCGAGGCAUGUGCAAAAUUUCAUCGAGAAAUUUGACGCCCGGAGAGAUCUGAAAAGAAAUGUGGUCCAAAAUGUCUAAGUUGUAAGCUUUUUUGGAGAUCGAUGUUGUUUGUUUUGUCUAGAGCUCCUGAGAUAUCAUUUCUCCGUCCCCACCUGCAACAUCAAAGCUUCCUCGUUUCAAAAACAGAAAUUAUUUUGUUUUAUAGGAAAACAAAAGGACAUUUUUUUAUAUCCUUUCCUCAUGACUGACCGAGAGACAAUCCGGAUUCUCUCUACAAAAAAAGAUUCUGUCUCAAAAAAAAAUACUGACAAUCAAGCAAUACAAUACUAUAUUUAAUUUGAUUUACUGAAGCAAAACCCAGCCAGGUGCUGAACAGACAAGGGGCAAAAAUCGCAUAUGAAAUGCUCGUCUCAACAAAUAGAUUCCCUAAAAAAAGAAUGGAUGCCUUGAAGAGAUAGGUCAGUGUAAUCUCUUUGUGCACUUCAGAGGAAAGUGCACUUGCUUUAGUCAAUUAUGAGUGUUCGAUCAGUGUAAGCAAUGAUGUUUACACAGACAGUGUAAUAAUCUCUUGCGCGCUCAAACUAGUGGCGAGCAGAGUUAGCGUCAAUCUUUGCACUUUGUCUCAAAAGAACACAUAACGGUUAUUCAGAUGUAGAACGAUGCAACUGUCAAACUUUGACUGCAAAAUGUAAAUCCAUCCCACCAUAUCACACUCAGAGCAGAACCAUGAUUUCACUAGACGAGACUCUCAUCGCAUCAAGGCUCAUACGCCUCUGAUCAACUGGAAUUUAAAGUAAUACAUGCCCCUGGAGCAUCCUCUCAAGCCAAGGGUGAGUCAUGUCUCUCAAACUCCAGCCAGAAGAUGCUUCCCUCUGGGGGAUACCUAAACAGCACACAGCUAAGGACAGAUGCUAGCGAGUGAUGGCGGCACUCGGUUACAGACACAGUCGACGAACGCUGACUUGUAGUGGCGGCACUCGGUUACAGACUCAGUCAACGAACGCUGACUUGUAGUGGAAAUCAUCGAUGGUCGAGUAGAUGUGCCCGACAUCGACAUGGUAGUCGAUAGCCUCCCUGCAUAUCAGAGGUGAAAGAUUUAUUAGCCAGCAGCAAUACAUCAUCGUGUGUCUUGGUUCAAGAGAGGUAGAGAGAUGGGCUUACUUGAUCUUGAGUGCUGGUAGUCUGAACCGCUUGGCAAUGUCAUCCACAUGCACGCCAUGGUCACUCUCGCUGUCAAUUAAACAGAGUGGUUAGAUAAAGAUGAAAACAAAUCACUGAUGAUGUAAAAGAGGAACAAUAUGCGGAGUCUACGAUGGGUAAUAGAUCAGGUUUUCAUGGCCUAUAUGUCAAGCAUAAAAGUCAGUUGAUAGGACAAGGCAAGGGAAGGAAGGAUUGGCGGAUGCACAGCUUACAUGUUUGCCGGUUCGCGGAAGACAUUCAGCACCUGCGUGUAGAAAUCGGUCUCCGAUCCGUUUGUUCCGCUAGUCGCUGGCGCCUGCAGGAAUGAAGGAAAUGAAUGACUAGUUAGCACACGAAUAGUUAGUUCUACUGUUCGAACCACUCAAACAUUGCAAUCACAGCUAACCGGGUUGGACUUCACAGAGGGUGGAGUAGCCGCUUCGCUCAAUCUGUUGGCGAAUGGGGUUCCCACAGAAGAAUUGGUGUGCGCGGGACUGCCAACCUACAAUUAACCAUGAUUAUAACAACCAUUUAAACCAGGUAUUCUUCUAACUGAGGACAAACAGAGAGUUAUCAUGGGAGUAUCUGCAUUGAACAUUUGGUACCACAAUGAUCAGGAGCAUACCUUUGAUUUUGUGUUCUCUAUGUGCAUCCGCACGCACUGAAUGAAAUGCAGCGUGACCUCGUUGUAAUCAGUUAUAGGUCUGAAAAUGGAGAAGUUACAUUCGGUUAGCAUGUUUCCAUACAUCAGAUCAGUGGAACAGGAACAUAAUGUUCUGCAGCAAAAACAAAUACCUGACUGCGAAAGCAGUAGCACGCUUCUUGUCCUGAACUCCCUUCAGGCUACCGAUGACAGCAACGUACAUACCAUUCCUUAAUUAACAAAGGAAGUAUUAGAAAAGGGUGGUGAUCCUUCAGAGAGGAAGGCAGUAACUUCCCUCAACAAAUGGUGAUUAUGUGUGUAUGACAAGCAAACAAUGAAGGUUGCAAGUAAUACGUACUGAAUAGCAGCAGUUUCAGCAGAAUCUGCAGCAUCAUUCACCCUGUAAAACAUAUCAAAUUGACAAAGAUGUUAAACUGAUACCUAUUGCUGACAGCAGAUACUAUCAUGUUUGAUUAGCCCACAAAGCUUUGUCUAAAUAGCAGAACGGCAUUACAAAUCCUGAGCUUAUAAAAACGCUAACUGUUGUUGAUGGCAUAAACUAUGAAAUACCAUUAACCGCUAACUAUAAAGAAUAUAUGGUGGUACUGCAAUGAGCCUAAUGACAGCAUUUCAGAUAUUUACUCUUCCCAAAGAACACAUUUUUCUGCUGAUAUCUCAUUAACUACCAAAGAAACAAUAAUCUGUACUAAUAUACUCCCUCCGUCCCAAAAUAAGUGACUCAACUUUGUACUAAAGUUAGUACAAACUCAAGUCACUUAUUUUGGGACAGAGGGAGUAUAAUCUUAGCCAGCGCUUAAGAAAACAUAAGAAUUUUAUAGUGAUAUAUCUACCAUGGUAAAAUAUUUGCAGAUUUCCCAUUCUUGGACUGCUCACACACUGAUAAGAGCAACUGUAUUACUAGUGAAAAUUGAACUUUGGGUUUGACAAAUCAAACAAGAGAUAGCCAGCAAUGAGGUCUUUUAUAUUCACAAAGACAGAAGAAACUAUAAUAAUAUCUCAUUGGUACAUGAAUCUCAGUAGUACAAAUAUAUCAUGCUUAGCCAGUUCUAAGAAUUGAAGCGUUCCACAGUAAUACACACACCCUAAUAAGUAUUCCCUCCGUCUGCGAAUAAGUGUACAUCUAGCUUUUGUACCAAGUCAAAGUUUUAAAAUUUUGACCAACUUUAUAGAAAAGUGUAGUAGCAUAUAUGAUAUCAAAUUGGUAUAUUAUGAAGCUACAUUUCAAAAUGAAUCUAGUGAUACUAAUUUAGUACCAUAAAUGUUACUACUUUUUCCCUAUAAAAUUGGUCAAAGUUUUAAAACUUUGACUUAGGACAAAAGCUAGAUGUACACUUAUUCACGGACGGAGGGAGCAAUGCCUUUCAAAUGGUUGAUUGAUUAGUCAGGUAUGGUAAAGUAAUUGCAGAUCCCUCACUAUUGGAUUGUUUGCACUGCGAUGAGAGGCACGGUAUUCUAGUAAUAUAUAUUGGUAUAUUAUGCUUGUCAAGUGUUACAGAAUUCAAAUUUUAAGCAUUUCACGGUAAUUUAUCCCCCUAAUGUCCCCCAAAUAGCCAAUUAACCUGAAAUGGCUAAUAACAACCAGCAGAUUUACCAUUACUGGAAAGCUUGCAUUGCUGUACUAACAGCUAGCAGCAUUUCUAGUGAAAAUUAAACGUGGAACAUUCAAAAAAUCCCACAGCCAGCACCCAGCAAUGGCAAACAGAGCACAAAGGUCUAAAACUGUACCCCCUAAAACACAUCUGGUACUCAACUAUGCUAAUGAUCAUUUGUUAGCAGGAUACCUGAAAUGCAUACUGAUUUAGUAAGCUAAGCCAGCUGCACAGACAAAAAAACAAGUACUUUGGAGAAACAUAUCGCCCUGCUAUUUCUAAAAUAGUUAAUUAGUCAAAUAUGGUGUCUAUGAACUUGCAAAGUUGCAAUAAUCUACAUUAUCAUAGUAUGCUUAGCCAGUCCAUACUGACUCAAAAAAUAAAUCAAGCAUUUUGCAGUAAUAUACUCCCUCUGUAAACUAAUAUAAGAGUGUUUAGAUCACUACUUUAGUAUUCUAAACGCUCUUAUAUUAGUUUACGGAGGGAGUAGUAUAUUCCACUACUGUCCCUCAAAUGGUUAAUUAGUCAGAGAUGGCAAAGCAAUUGCAGAUUUCCCAUCGUCUAAUUGCUUGCAGUGUUGUGAUAGCCAGCAGCAUUCCUAGUGCAGGGAGAACUUGUAAGGUUUGACGAAUCUAACAGCAUAAUAUACACAGCAAUGGCCACAGGAGCACAAAGGUGUAAACUUGUUUCCUAAAACACAUCUGGGACUCAAUUACAGAAUUAAUCUUACACUGUCGUACCAACAGCCAACAGUAUUUCUAUCUUAGCGAAGAUUGAAGUCGCAGCAUUAGACAAAUCCCACAGCCAGCCAACAUCCAGCAAUGGAAUCCAAACAAAAGAUGCAUCUGGAACUCGAUUAAAAGUAGGGGAUUUGCCGAGAUGCGCUCACCAUCUGAUGAAGUCGAUGCGGCCGGUGCCGUCGUCGAGGGUGAAGGAGACGUCCGUGUUCCGCUCCGCCUUGCCGCUCACCAUCCCCACGAGCCUGACCUGCAGAUCCCCCAACCCCGAACAACAGCAGGGUAAGAAGCCGAUCCAGACGAGCCCGGAGGCGCAUGGCCGGUGAAUCCUCACUCACGUUGGCCGUCUCGACGCCGUCGACGACGAAGGGCGCUCCCUUCUCGCCGGCGCCGGCCAGCCGCGCGUCCGCGAUCUGCUUCACGGUCAGCGGCAUCGUUCCCAACGCGCCCCGGAACUGCGACGCACAACCGAAAGAUCUACAUCAGGAAACCGGCGAGGACACAUCUCGCAAGAAAGCGGGCAAGGAGGAGGGACCGACCUUGUUGGGGGUGGAGUCGGCGGCGGCGUUCUGCGACGCGGUGAACUGCGACGGCGAGAAGGCGUCCACCUGGCUGGAGAACAUCAUGGCUGCUGCUCCCCUUUCCCGCCUCCUUCCCCUGCUCCGCUCUGCUCUCGGCUCGGCCGGACGGAUGGAUCUCUUCUGGCGGCGGCGGCGGGUGGUGGCGUCUGGCGGGGAGGGGAUCGGAGGAGGCCGGGGAUAAGAGGGGGCGAGCGCGGGAGAUUCGGGGGGAAAUGCGCGGGAAACCCACCAACGCUUCCCGCCAGUUCUCGCUGCCGCGGGCUUUAAUUUGGCCUUCGCUGUUGGCUGACAGGUGGGUCCCUGCCGCACAUGACUCAGCUGCCAGCAGCCAAACCUCAAAAAAAAAAACUGCCAGCAGCCGGUGAGACUUUUUUUUAUCAAACAAGUAAGUUCAAAAAAUUCUUCACUGCGUAAGUGGCAAAAAAAAAUUAUCACCAAAUAUUCCAUCCUUUCCAAAUGUAAAGCGUGUAAGGAUCUCCUUUUUUUUGAAAAAAAAAGGCUGAAAGCGAUAUAUUUGGGGCGCCGAAAUCUUCUUCUUCCUACAUCCACCGGCGACGUACCCUGAGCAAAGCUCUCAUACCGUAGCGAUAGCACUAUAUUGUUUGUUUGGCGUUGUAGUUACAGAUAUAUUUUCUAUAAACUUGGUCAAAUGAAAGAAAAUGAUCUUGGGAUAAAAUAUGUACGCCUUCUAUAUUGGAAACGACCGACGAAGACUUUCAAGUUACAAAAAUGAUUUUCUUAUGUUAUGUUGAAAAAGCGGCCAUUUCAUAGAAUAGUAUGCCAAAAACUCCAUCCUGGUACGAAAUAGAAAAUAUCUUGGGUGAUUUUGUGCUUUGAGGAACCAUCUAAGAAGACAUUUGCUAUUGUUCUCGCAAAAAAAAAAGAUUGAAAAAAGUAGUAAUAAUGGCAAUAUUAAACCAGACUAGUAGUCUUGAAUUGUUUAUGUUGCAAAUAAUUGUUUUGAUCGUUUUUAAGGGGGGUGCAAACGACCUGAGUGAUUUUUUCAGGCAGGCGAUAUGCGUAUUUCCUGUCAAAACAUAAACGAAAUUUAUUCGCAUUACAGAAAUAAAAUCAGCCUCCACAACAUUCGAGCCCAGUCACAGAUGUUCUUUCAGCGAAAGCCCAGUUACAGAUUAUUCUUUUUUUUUUUUGAGAAAUAGUUACAGAUUAUUCGAAAGUGGACCGGUCUCCACCUCCCAGCCCAGUUUAAGAUCCAGGGAGAAGCCCAUAGAGCGUCUGAACAAUGUGCUUUCGGCUUUCGGCUGGUCUCGUUUUCUGCGGGAAUCUGUUAAUAAAAAAAAAUUCCGCGGGAAAAAAAUAUCGCCAAGAUAAAACGGGGGAAAAAAGGAUUUGGAGAUGGGAGGUAUCGAUCCCCCUGCCUUUUAAUAGCUGAUUAAAUGCUCUACCAUUUGAGCUACAUCCCCAUUGAUAUCUACUCCCUCCGUCCGGGUUUGUUGGGCCCUUAAGCCACAACACAAAGACCAAGGAGAUACACGCAUGUUGAGAUUUAGGAAAUAAAUCUGCUUAAUUUGCUCUCUAACUGCCCUAUUAAAUUGCCCCAUUAACCAAAGCAGAGCAUGCAGCGGCCGGCGUGCGCAUGCGGCCGGCGUGCGCAUGCAGCCUGCAUGCAUGCCCAAUCGGCAAGGUUCCUGCGUUGGCUCCAUUGCAACGAUGCAUGGGUGGGAGAGAUUUCAGGUAAUAAAGCAAGGUAAUUAAUGUACGGGCCUAAUAAAAUGGUACAACCAUCUAUGGCUCUCGGGCCCAAUAAACCCGGACGGAGGGAGUAUUAUACUAAUCCAAGCUCAUAUUAAUAUCAAUUAAUUAUUUUGAAUAAAAGCAAUCAAUCCCAAGUUCAAUUCUUUUUUGCGAGGAAAUCCCAAGUUCAAUUUCCCAAGGUUACGUCUUGUGCGAAAACCGUGGCUCUAAAAUCACUAUAGCCAUAAACAAAAUUACGCAAAUGCUUAAAAACCGUAACACUAAAUAGAAUAUUGGACUCUUUUAGGACAACUUUGUGAUUUGAUAUUCUCUAUUCUCUAGAAAAAGACAUUUUUUUACCUGGUAUUGGCAAUCUAGACUAGGACCUGUAGACAAUACUAAGGGACUGUUUGAAUGACAAUGCUAAGGGAGUAAAAUAUGUUUUUGUUAAACUGGUCACUAGGUUUUGUUUAUGCAAAUAACCACUAAGAGUGUUUUCUUUAAUUGUAGGUAUUAAGAUAGCUAACCGGCCUUGCCACCCGGUAGAGUGUGUUGAGAUCAAAAAUGAGUGAAGAAAAUAGAGAUGUGGGCCAUGCGUUGGUUUAAGACCAAAGUUCACAAAGGACGAAUGGGACCAAAAUGUGCACCCUUGCUUGGCCAUCGUUUACGAGUGAAUUGCAAAAAACCACCACAUUUGAAGUUCUCAUCCAGAAUUGCCACCACAUUUCUUGCGCACCCCAAAAAUCCACCUCUUUUCUUGCUAAUUUUCUCAAUAAACAUUGAUGAUCAGUUUAAAGUGAUUAAUCUGAUUUAUGACAACCUGGGCCCGCUGUAAGCACUGACGUGGCACAAAAUUGUCAACAUCGUUUGUUGACCUGUUAAUUUGGACGGAGGGCCCACCUGUCAGCACCCUUAUCUCUCCCAAACCUUCUUAUUCUCUUUUGAGGCAUUCCAUCAAACAGCUUGGGUGCAUCCAACGUUGUUGCCGCCCUCAAGCUCGCGCUGCUGCACGGCCCGCCAAUUACUGCCGCACCAAGGAGGGCGCCGUCCCCGAGCCGCGUGGCCGAUGCAUCCAUGUAAGUCGUCUCGCGCCGCCUCCCGCACCGUUCCGAAGUUGCACGGCUGCCGCCUUCGUGCAGGUCGUCCCAAGCAGUCGCGAGUGAGGCCGCCGCCCGAUGCCAGGCAGGGUCGCCGCCGACAGCAACAAGAGGCCAGGUAGCCAGUGACGCAAUCAUCCUUGGUUGGAAGGCUGACACAUCGUCUUCACGGCGCAGUGGCGGGAGACGGCCAUGGCAGGGCCGUGUGUCACGGCGGCGCGCGCUUCUGCCGAGCUGUAGCCAUGGCGGCCCGUGCGAGAGCGGGCGCAGGAGGUGGGUAGAAUGAGGAGGGUGAGAGGAGCGGGAGAAUGGUGGAGGGCCACAGCGGGGCUUUGCUCGUCGGGAGGCGGUGUUGAUGCAGACGGCGCCCGAUGCAGGACAACCUGAGAAGGAGGUGCUGGGGAGAGAGAAGGAGAGGAGGAGAGGGAGGCGAAGCUGCCAGCGGCGGGCUCGCCAGUGACGCCCCAAUCGGAGGAGUGAGCAGGGGCCCCUGGCAAUGCGGGAGUGUUGAUGCGGGCUCACCGGCGACGACCCAGUCGCAUGAGAGGUAAGGGUGGCUGACGGGUGGGCCCUUUGUCUAACUUAUAAUAGGUCAACAAAAAAAUAUUGACAAUUGUGUGCCACGCCAGCGCUUACAGCGGGCCCGGGCUGUCAGAAAUCAGAUUAAUCACUUCAAACCGGCCAUCAGUGUUUAUUGAGAAAAUUAACAAGGAAAGAGGUAGAUUUUUGGGGCGCGCAAGCAAUAUGGUGGCAAUUCCGGAUAAGAACUUCAAAUGUGGUGGUUUUUUGCAAUUCACUCUCGUUUUGCUGACAAAUGGAUCUCCAGUCCACACCAGUCAUGUUAGGCUAAUAAGUGAGAUUUAAUAAGUUAUUUUUAUCACUAAUAACAGAAAAGACAUUUUAUUGCUAAGUCCAAAAGAAAAAGAAAACAGAGUAACGGUAACCCACAUCGAGCAGCUCCUGACCGAACUAAGAUGAUGCAAGUGUACAUGAUCCAUACGUGGACACAACCACGCGACUGAAACCCGUGCACACCCUGAGAAAGUAGUCCAUCCGCCAAAGAGUUGUAUGUGUAGCCAAGAACAUUCAUCGACAUAUGUGUGACACAAGUCGCAGAGCACCGGCAAGAGAGGAUUGUACCGCCAAAAUCUCACAUUGGAGACGCUCUGGCAAUACCACAUGUCCAUCACAAAUGUACGUCGAUGGUAAUUCUGGUCAUGGCCAUCGGCCCUAGACAAUACACAAUUAAUCUUCACCACAACUACUCCAUGGCCACGAUCUAUCGCCACAAGCUCAUCCGGACCUUGGCCCGCUGACCAACCACAUCGGCACCACAACGUACCACCUACGUAGCACCGAUACGGCGAUACGAGUACGGCGAUACGGGAUACGGCAAUUUCUAAAAACAACAAUACAACAAUACGUCGAGUAUAUAUAAAUAAUUAAUAAAAUGACAUGUGUUAAAGGCAAAACAUAAUACAAUGUGUGAGAUGAGAUCAAAUUGGUUGCCUCAUUGCCUCCAUGCCUCUUUUCAAGCCCUGAAUGAUCAUCAAGGUCCUCAACUCCUCAUGUUGUAUGCAAAAUAGAAAAUACGUCAUAUGAUAUUAGACUUUGUCAAUUUCGUAUUUCCCUCCGUAGCGGUACGACCAAGUGAAGAUUGGCUUGAUGCCAGGUCGUAUUUUCCUUCGCAGUAGACAGUAAGCAGCAACAUCAGUAAGCAAUAGACAGUACAGAAUACACUAGAAAGUAGACAGUAGGCAUCAGCAACAUCAGUAAGCAAUGCUUCAACAAGACAGUAGACAUAGCUUAUCAAGAUAAAUGGAGAUGCAUAUAUGUGUGCUAGUCUGCUUCUCCAGCCUAACUAAGUUCAGAGGAUCAGCCGAACACAAGUACAGGUAAUUAGACAGAUGCAGCACGGCACAUGCCAGCAGCCAAGCACACAGGAUACAAGCAGCCAAGCACGGAUGCGACGGAAUCAUACCUCGUUGUUGCUGGCGACAGAUAAGACUCCAGUCACUCCAGGCAAGACGAGCCGGCAGGUGGAGAGGCGAUUCAAGGCGGCGGCGGCGAGCUACUUCAGGCAAUCAGGCGGCGCGGUGGCGGCAGCGCACCGCCUGCUGUCGCCAGAUCGAAUCCUUCGUGGUCGAACAGAAAGGAAAGAGAACUGAUGUUAGGUUAGGCUUGUGGGCUUCUAUUGGGCUCAGGGCUGCCGGCGACGUGCUUGCCGUAUCCCGGCCAUGUCCACAGCGUGUCACCACCGUAUCAUGUUUAUUUUCUUUUCUUUUUAAAUCAAAAAUCGGGAUACUUUGGCGAUACCCGUAUCGGAGCCGUAUCAGACGUAUCAGAGUAUCGGUCACGUAUAGUAUGCCGAUACAGCUGAUCUUGACGUAUCGGUGCUUCAUAGGGCACUAGAGAGAUAGGGAAGCAGACAAGUGCAGCACAAAACUCACACCAACCCCUUAUUUUUCCAGCGAAACCAUCUCCAAUACCUUUUUAGAACUUUAAAACAUGGUUUCCACAAAGUUUUCUUUGUAACUUGGUGUCCACCGGAUAUUCUAUAUCAGGAUGGAGCUAAGGCAAAAGAAAAACCAGAAGCCAUGAGGCCACGUAUGACCUCAUCCCAACCCCAUGUCGGUCCCACUCCUCUCCCCCAGAGGCCACGUCUGCGGCAAGAGGAGUGGGUACCCGCCAUUUCAUUUCUAUUUUCCUUAGGUUUUGUUUCCUUAGUGGCAUCGACGAGGUGGUGGCGGUGAUGGUGUGUUGGAAUAAGGUCUUUCUAAUUUCUUACCUCGACGACGUCCAAUCUGCAGACGAAGGGCAUGUGAGAGUUUUUGCCGCCAGAUUUGUUUGCUCUCUCCGGAUCUUGGUAGUUGGCGUGUCUAUCAAGAGAGCAAUAUAUUGGCUAUUCGUGUGGCAACUUAAUUCAAUGUCUUAUUUCGUGUUGUUUUGCGGUACGGUUUGGUUUCUCCAAGUCUCUAGACCGGUGGUGAUGGAUUGCAAGCUUGUAGUACGUGGGGGUAAUGCUAUAACCGUUUUCUUUAAUGAUUUCCAGAUAUCGUCUGAAACGGUGAGUGGCUAUUGCGGUCUUUAAUGCAUGACAUGGCGAUGGCAUUCACAUGUAUCCCUUUUCCUUACCGUUGGUUUAGUGUAAUUUUUAAUCUCCAACGGACGGAAUACAAUUAGAGAAAUAAGAGGACUAUUAUAAUUUUUAUUGUAAUUGUAUUUUUAAUUGAUAGUCAUACUUUCAGUUGUCCUUUCAUUGUACUGGCUAUUGUUUUUUCUUGAUAACUAUCAAAUCCAAGAUGCCUUUUGGUGUCUUACUUCAAAAAAGAAAGAUGGACGUAGCUAGGGCAAAUCUUUACCGCAUAGGAGUAUUACAUAAUUAGCGAGUGGUGUGGCAUAACAAUAACAAAAUAAAUAUAAAAUUUAGAAGUCAACUAGCACAAAGGAAAGCUAGCCACUACAUAAUUUUAUAGGAAUCCAGAUUUUAUAUGUGUUGCCCCAACAUACAAGCAAGUUCAUAUUUGUUCGCUCUUGACGAACCAAACACAUACAGUUCAAAUUCAAUGAGUAUCCAAAAAUUUAUAGAAUUACCCCGUAGCAUAACGACAGGCCUAGUAUGGUACGUACUAAUUUUUGGAUUCUCGCAUCCACAUCAGUGUGGUGUCCUCUCCCCAUCACCACGUCAGUUUGACUUUGUUGUAUUUUAUGUCCGCAUGGCCACCCCAAACAAGCAAGAACACGACCACACGCAUCCUAUCCUAGCUAUAUAAUGCCAGCCAUUGGUGCAAUCUUUCUUUCACGAUCGAGGAGCCAACACAACCCCAUGUCUCACAAGAAGAUGACCAUGAGCUGCCUCGUCGUGCUGACACUGGCACUCGCGGCCACCGUGGGCGCGCAGGAGUGCAGGCGGAGCGGCACGCUCCGGCCGAGCAAGGGCCACGCGUGCGAGGACUGCUGCGAGGCAGGGAAGGCGUACCCGACGUACCGGUGCUCGCCGCCGGUCGUCGCGGGCGCCACCAGGGCCAUCAUGACGCUCAACGACUUCGACGCGGGCGGCGACGGCGGGGACCCGUCGGCGUGCGACGAGGUGUUCCACCGCAACUCGGAGCGCGUGGUGGCGCUGUCCACGGGGUGGUACGCCGGGGGCUCCCGCUGCGGCGACCGCAUCCGGAUCCGAGCCAACGGCAGGUCCGUGCUCGCCAAGGUCGUCGACGAGUGCGACUCCUUGAACGGGUGCGACCGCGAGCACGCCUUCCAGCCGCCAUGCCGCAACAACGUCGUCGAUGCGUCCCAGGCGGUGUGGGACGCGCUCGGCAUCACCGGCGAGGAGGUCGGCGAGUACGGCAUCACCUGGUCAGAUGCAUGACUCUGCCGCCCGCCGCCGGCCGGUGGUGCCUUGAUGUAGUGUUCUCUUUCUUAUUUGCAGCUUAUGUUUAUGUGUGGUGCCUUGUUGUAGUGUUCAAAUGUAGUGUCCUCGAUGAAUAAGUAAACUGCUCUUUAUAUUUCUUAUAACAGCAAUCGGCAAUUUUGGCUAGUGCCGGAGUUUACCGAGUGCUUUCUAUCAGGAGGUUGGCAAACAAAAAGAAUGCGAGUGUCAGUCAUAAAAACUUGCAAAAACAUACUGUAGAACUCGGCAAUGGAGAGGUUUUCGGGAGCGCACGAAAAAAAUAUCAGCCUCCACAACAUUCGAGCCCAGUUACAGAUUAUUCCGAAGUGGACCAGUCUACACCACCCAGCCCAGUUAAAUAUCCAGGGAGAAGCCCAUAGAGCGUCCGAAGAAUGUGCUUUCGGCUCUUUGCACGUCACAUUUUCUGCGCGAAGCCGGGAAACCGCUAACAAAAAUAUUUCUGCGGGAAAAAAAACUAUAUCGGCAAGAUAAAACGGAGGUGGAAAAUAUAAUUUGGAGAUGGGAGGUAUCGAUCCCCCUGCCUUUUAAUAUCUAUUGAUAGACUAAUCCAAUAUAAUAUUGGAAAUCCGUUGGUGCUUCCUGGAGCGCACGCUAAAAUUAUAUUUUAAAGUGUGAAAAAAAUUCCAAACAAAAAUUUGGCGCAUAUAUCUCGACAUUAUAUGUAUACACGUCAAGUUUUGGAGAAAACUGAUAUUUUUUGUGGCUUGUGUAAAAAGACAAAAGGAUGUCUUGUGAAAAGUAAUUUUUAACACUGGAUUUUGUCUUUUUCACACGCGACACAUAAGUUAUUGGUUUUUCGUGAAACGACUUUAUGAGCAUGUACAAUAACAAGAUGUACGUGUCAAGUUUUUGUUUGAAUUUUUUAAUAUUUCAAAAUAUGUUUAAAGCACAUUUUCAAUACCAGGAGCGUGCGCUUCCAUGUGCCAAAAUGCCACUCUCCAAUUAAUUCUUUUGACUAAAAAUAAUCAAUACCAAGUUCAAUUUCCCAUGGUUAUGUCACGCGUGGCCACAUGCGAAGCGCUCCUCGCAACCUCAGUUUAUUUUCUUGAGAAUCCGCCCUUCAGGCUCUUUAUUCAUUAGUAGGCGUAAUCCGGCGGCGGCGGGGCUCUGGCGCGCCGGAGCGGCCCGGCUGCGAGCGGGGACUCGUGCGGCAGCAGCGGCGCGGCGCUCCUCCGCGCGCGCCGUUCGUGCUCCGUGGCGGUGGGAGGGUGGCGGUGCUUGCGGCGGGGGGUGGGCGUCCCGUGCUCCGGCCAUCUUUGGCCCGCGCGAUGCGCUUCGCCUCCCAAUCUGGCGGGUUGGGCCGCUGCCUGCGGUGCCUCACGGCGUUCGUGGCGGCUGGUCGUUCCCCCGGCCGUGAGGGCGGCGUGGGGCUGCGGCGGAGCCAUCUGCCUCGGCUUGGACGGCCGCGGCGGGCCUGGGCGUCUGCUGUCUUCUGCGACGGAUCUGCCGAUUCCUGCUCUCUCCGGUGAGCUGGACCUCGGGAUGGGUGGGGUGAGUGCGCUGGGCUUCUACGCACGAGGUGUGCGGCGGACUCGGCGUGAUGCAGGUGCAGCUCUCGCUGCCUCUUAGAUCGAGCUCUGCUCGCUCUCCCGAUCUGGAGGCUUCGCAUGGUGCGGCGGCCUCUGUUCUGUGGUCAGGCUGCGAGUGCUCUUGCUGGUGUGUUGGUUGGCUAGCAGGCUGCAGGUUGGGGGUCGUGACACUGCCGGCGUAAAGCCGGGCUCCGGUUUCGGUUGGAGCCAACGACGGCGGUGCCUGUGGGCGCCGUAUCCUUGUUGAAGGCGUCGUGCUGCUGGUGUUCGUCUUCCCUCCUAAAUUGCUCCGGAGGAAACUUUGGAUCUUGGGUCUCCCGGAUCGGGCGAUGGUGGCGCUCAACGUCACACUCCCACUUGGGGCUUCGUCUUUGAGCUUGCCUUGGCUAGGGUGACCAGUGGCUUGAGGUGGUCCCGUUGGCGGUCCGUGUGGGCGUUAGCAGUGGAGAGGUGGUGCUUUGUCUUCGUGAUCUUGGCUCGGCCAUGCCUUUGGCCGCGUUGAGGUGUUUGUGUUGGCGGUUGGAUGGUGGUGGUGCGGCCGGGUUGGGGUCGACGGUGGUUUGAGCUCUUCUUCGGGGGUGUUCUUCUCGUGUUCUUGCUCCUGCACUCCUGAGUGUGUUCUCUGCUAGGUGAUGCCAAGCUACAACGGCGGUGGCGCACAGGUGCCGUGGCGCUGUCUCGGCCUCGCGUGACCUUUCGAAUGUGCCCCACGGCACAGGUGGUGUCGCGACGUUGUGCAGUCUCGGAUGCGCGGAGCCUUUCGAUUGCGUCGACGGUGCAGUGUCAUGGUCUUGUUUGCUUGGCGAUGCUGACUUCGCCUAUGGCACAUAGGCGCCGUGGCGUCGUCUCGGCCUCGCGUGACCUUUCGAAUGCACCCCCGGCACAGGUGGUGUUGUGGCGUUGUGCACUCUCGGAUGCGUGAAGCCUUUCGAUUGCGUCGAUGGUGCAAUGUCUUGGCUUGGUCGGCUGGCCAAUGCCGUUCGAUCACAUUGGUGGUGCUUUGUGUUGUGCUGGGAUGUGUCUUCCCUCUUUGUUCUCCCCUGUUUGUAUGUUUGGAGUAUUCUGUUUUUGCUUUAUCUCUUCUUCCGUGUCCCCCUGUAAUUCUGGUUCAUUUGAACCCAUCUUGCAAAAAGGCUGCAAAGCCUUAUAGGCAAAUGAAUAUAAUUCAGGUGGUGGAGGGGCUCCCCCUCCUCCCCCGGUGAAAAUUCAAAAAAAAAAAAAGUAGGCGUAAUCGAAUCCAACUGUACAACAUCAAUCAGAAAUACAAGGGGUACAUCAAACUCGAACAAAAACGCUUCCAUAGUAAGCGCCUCUCUACCACUCUUCUGAGCAACGCCAUUUGCUUCUCUGCUCACAUGUUGCAACUUAAACCCCUAGAAAAGAUGGAGAUAGGCUUUGUUCAUCCACUGGUUACAAACAGUCUGACAACGCGUCUCAACCACCACAUGCGUGAGACCCUUUUCGAUUGCUAGGGCCAUGCCAUCCCUGCAAGCCAGCGUCUUAAUCACCAACAACGGAUCCCUGACAGAAUCAUACUCCCUCCGUUCCAAAAUAGAUGACCUAACUUUAUACUAACUUUGUACUAAAGUUGAUACAAAACCGAGUCAUCUAAUUUGGAACGGAGGGAGUACUUCGUAAUUCUUCCGCCGAUAACGGUUCGUUGAUCGUCCCGAGCUACGACUGCAGUCCCAGCUAGACCCUGGUUCACCGAGAUAGUGCCAUCAUAACUUUUCAUUUUCCCUAGCUUUGCCUGUCGCUAUGGUUGCUUAUACAAACCUCAUUUCAUUUUCGAAAUCAUUCACUGUGUCAGCAUAGUCAUUGCUUUCUCCCCUCAAAAAUAGUAAAAAGGAUAGGACCCCUCAAAGAAAACUUAUUUUCGGCAGAAAAAAAAUCUAUCACCAAGAUAAAAAAGACGUAUAAAUAAAUAAAUUUGAGACUAAUCCCCUCUUGACAACCCAAACUUAUUUAUAAACAAAGAGCUGUACCAUUUGAGCUACAUCCCAUUAUAUGUAUAUAAGACUAAUCCAAAAAUAUUAUUCUUAACUAAACAUGACCAAUAAAUAAAAGUCCAAGUCCAGUUGGAGGUGGCGGGGACAUUGUCCUUCAGUGUUGGCAGAGAGCUGGGUUACAAAUAAUAAACAAUUUAUUUCUAUUUUUUAGGGGUAUAACGAACUUUAUUGUAAUUAUAGGAAAUAAAAUCAGCCUCCACCUUCUAGCCCAGUGACAGAUCAGGCUCCACCUUUCAGCCCAGUUAAAGAUCCAGGCAGAAGCCCAUACAGCGUAGGAACAAAGUCCAUUAUUUUUGCACGUCUCAUUUUCUGCAAGGAAAAAAACGCAUGCCAAGAUAGAAAUGAAAAAAAAAAUGGAGAUGGGAGGUAUCAAUCCCCCUGCCUUUCAAGAUGCGUCUUAAAUGCUCUACCAUUUGAGCUACAUCCCCUUUGAUAUUUGUAGAAUAAUCAAGCCCAAGUCCAUUCAACAAUAAAAAAAAAUCGCUAUAGCCACAAACAAAAACUCCACGGCAACAACAAAAGGAUGAUCAGACUAUUAUGUGACCUCAUAGAAAAAAAGACUAUUUUGUGACGAGUAGGUGCUUCGAGGAGCAUUUGAGAAGAAUAUUUUACGUGGUAUUGUCAAUCUAGACCGGGACUCGGACAAUGUAAAAAAUAGGUUGUCUUGAUGUUUUUAAUGAUGUUUUUUUUGCGGGGACGUACCGAGAACCGUCUUUUACAGGGGAGUCCGAGUGAUAUAUCUUUAUGGUAUAAAUUCUGAAGAUUUGUGUAUCAUCUCUAGUUUUAAAAUGGUUUUAUAGAAAUUGAGUAGGUGCAUGGCCCCCACUCGGCUGAACAUUUGGUUCGCCCCUUGGUCUUUUUAAUGUGUUUCUUGCAUAUGCCAUUUGUUUAUGCGCCGUGUCUCACAUGUUGCAACCAAUUCUCAUAGUUUGUCACACUGAAUGGGAACUCGUUACAUAAGCAUUUACAAUACAAUCUUUGUCAGUCUCACAGAGUUUGGGGAUAUGGAUCAGCCUCCAGCAAAAGGUCAUCCGCAGUCCCAACACAGUUUUCUACUUGUUGGUUACCGGUCUAUUAUUCUACAGAAAAAGGGCCGGCAAAAUAUAUUUAACAUGGUAAAAAGGAAACAGUUUAUCAGAUGGGAGGUAUAUGGAUCAAGGCUGAUCCCACUUUCCCAACCACGACUUAUGGAUGGUUCCUUUGUUCAAUGCAAAAAAAGGUACUCCCUCCGAUCCAUAACAAAUGUCACAGUUUUUACUAAGGAUGAACUAACCUUAGUUCAAAACUGCGACAUUUAUUUCGGAUCGGAAGGAGAGUAAUGAAGUGUCUAAAAGCUUUACUAACAAGGUUUGUGGCAGAAGAUCAAUUAAGGUUCUAUUCCUUUUUCUUAGCUUCAUGUAAGCGCUGACUUCUGAGAAGACGCAUACUCAACAGAAGCACCACUCGACCGUUAAAUUUCUAUGACCGGAGCACAAUGUCUCAACCAGAAAAAAUCCAGGACACUAGAGACUAGGCCAGAGCCAAAUGUUUCAGUCAUUAAAGGGGUGAGCGGGGGCCAAUCAUUUUCGACCCAGCUAAAAGUUUGCUGAGAAGACGUGGGAACCGAUGGUAGAAGGGCCCAAAACUGCCACUCAAGAUAAUACAGAAGGACCUUAAGACACCAUUUGAUCUUGAGUUUAAUGUUCUGCUACAAUGUCAGGCAUAUGUUUGAACCUUUCCAAGGAAUAUAACCUGACACUAUGCUAAAAAAGAGACUGUACACCGAGCAACAUAAUCAGAAAUUGCUUUUCAGAUGCAUAACUACAAUGAACAAGAGUAUUAGUAUGCUAAAAUUUGUGCUGAAGAAAUGCUCCCAAGAACACAUGCUUCCAAUGUUGGUGGGCUGUCCAUGUAGUGGUCAGAAAGGUCUUUGCUCAUCAGCUGCUUGCCCUGAACUCCUGCAAAAGGGAAAAUGUAGUGAUUAGUGUCCUUGCAAUCAAACAAUGUUGGCGACAACAACUAGUGACUUUCCUCUAAAAAAACAACUAGUGACAGAUAUAUAUAGAACACUGAAAGUUUGUAGUCGUGAUAAUCACAAGAGUGGUGGAAACAAAAACUGUUUUUUCAAAAAGGGAAACAAAAACUGUGACUCGAGUCAAAUGGGGCAAAAAUAUAUGAAGUUUGUACACCUACAUUAUCCAAUAUCAGUGAGAGCAUGCUCAAAAGGUAAAUAGUUAUCAUGAAAAAAGUGUGGUUCAAGAUACUAAUACUAUAGAAAUCAAAAUCUCAUUCGGCACAAUCAAGGGAAUAUUAUUAUAUACCCCCACUGCAAAGUUCCACUUCAAAAUACAACUGGUAAUUAACUUGUUGUAAAUGUUCAUUUUUAGAGCGGGAGCACGCGGCAUGAGGACGAAAUGAAUUGGUAAGUCUUAGUGUGUGUAGAGUGAGUAUGUAGCCAGGUAGCAGAGUUUCUUUUUUACAAUCGUCCAUUCUAUGGAAAUGGGUGCAAAUAUUGUACCAUAACAGUGUCGAGGAGAACCUUGGCUUCAAUGUUGGUGUUGAAGUGGUCACGAACAGGCUGAAAAAUCGAAAGCCGUAUUAGCAUAACCAAAUCUAUACAUGAAUAAAUAUGAGGCAUUGUAAAUUAUAUCUAUAAAAGAUGAACUUGACUGAAAACAAUAAAAAGGUUUCUAGAUUCAAAAUCGCUUCACUAGGACACAUGAUUGACACCAAACAAUAAAAGCAAUACAUUAGUACUAUUUGUCAGGAAGGAAUGACACAAACUGAGAAACGUAGUGAUGCAAUGAUAGAAUAAAUAACAACAGAAGCUGUCUCAAGCAUUACAAAAUCACAAUACAAUGGACUAAACAAUUAAUUAUGAGAAACGUAGUGCUCAAUGAACUAAAACAGCAAACGAAAGCUGGUAAUGCUCAAAGAGUGCAUAAGUUAAUGACUAGUGAAGAAGUGCACGACAAUAUUGGAAAAAUAUGUGAAAAAACUGUACCUUCAAUAUUUCAUUGAUUGCUUUAGCCAAAGAAGUUUUAACGUCAGCGGGAUGCAAAGCACCACUCGUAUAAUCAACAAUGAGUUCAUCCAUGCUUAAAAAUGUUCUGUUUAAAAACAAUCAUUGUUAUAACUCCACAGAAAAAAAAAAUCUCAAUAGUACAGAAUUUUCAACAUAGAUAACUUAGAGGGAUGACCAUGUGCUUAUUCAACAACCAUAGUUCAUGGUGGCAUAGACAUCUAUAUAUUAUCAUAUUAUAUGGUUCUAUCUGAUAAUGUACUCUAAAAAUAUGAGUUUCAAACUUUUGGUGGUCCAAGAAAAGAAUAUUACUUGUUACCGCCAUUUCUUUCUCUCCGAACCACCUCAAACUUGUCAAACCAAGGAAAAACAAUGUAUUUGAUGUACUCUAGGCAUGGAUUUCCGUCAACAAUGUUGGAAUUUUCAUCAACAGUGUUGGGAGGAGGAGGAGGAGGGCAGAAAGCUUGAUUUAUCUUCAAUUUUACCUGAGCCUGCAAUAAAUUUGGGUACGAACAAUAUCAGCUUAGAAAAAGGGCAAAACUUGACAAAUAAAUGUUAGUCUAUAAAUCCAAAGUUAAAUCAGAUUGAUAGAGAGAUAACUUAAUGACUACAUGCCAUCUAAAAGAUCAAUUGAACCACAAACAUAAACUAUAAACAAAUGAUAAAUACAGUGCAAACCAAACUAAAGUGAUAGAACCUUUUUAAAAUAAUGGAAAUCCCAUGUUGGAUGGAAGACAAAGACCAUACCCCACAAUACUAUUCCAAGUCGAGCGGUAUCUUUCAAAAUUCAAACACCCCAAAUGAGGUUGAAUGGACUAAAUAGGUGUCAUAAGUUUUGGAAACAAAUAAAGAUUAUUAGUGAAGAGAAAAUGACAUGAGAACCUCAUCAUCUUCCAUAAAGAUGGCCGAUGUUGGAUCACUUUUUGACAUCUUCUCCUGGCCUUGUUUGAAACCGGGGAGCAUAUCUGUGGUUUAUGUUAGGGAACAAAUCUUUUUGUACAGCCUGGCAAUGGACCACUAUUUCAGAAUUCUAAUACCAUAAUCACAAAGGCACAUAUAUCAGCGAUAAUAAGAAGAAAAACACGAUACAGAAAAAACAUUUCACAGCAGAUCAGGAUACGAUGUGACAGAAUAAUUGGUUUGUUCUUCCUUUUGAUGUCAUCGCAGUAUUCCCUUGCUAACAUGUUUACCUUCCUUUGGUCCAUGCCCAACUGACAUAUGUCUGCCUGCACACGGCAACGGACAAGAGAAAAUGAGUCACAAUCCAGAAAUCUGGAAUAAAAGUAUACCACACUACAAAAUCGGGUGAAAUCAGCAAAUAUCAGUAACCUUAUUCCUACUUUGAUUUUACAGAGGAUUGCUUACAAUAUAAUAUACUAACCUUCAGGAAGAAUAUGUCAGCACACUGCAUGCAAGGAUAGAAGAUCUGUGCAGCAGUUAGGUCCUCACUGUCAGCGCGGCCCAUAAUCGUACAACACCUGUGUGCGCAGUAAUUAAGGAGAAAAAUGAGAUAACUAAUCUAUAUUGGAUAGAGUUUAAAGCUUUUGAGCCAAGAAUCAUUUGAAUGUGUAUGCAAUAUAUAUAAGUGGUUGUACCUUGUUAUUCGUUUGACUUUAUUUCUCCUGGCAAUGUCCAUUACAAGUGGCCAGUAUUCACUUGCACGCUUAUUGAUUUCUUCCGAAGACCAUAGGAAUUCAACGCCGUCGAGGUUCAUACCGGCCGCUUUCCAUAUUUCGAUCAUGUAGCGCCCGACGGCCUGGAUUUUCUCCAGGUCGCCGCCCAUCUUGUUGUUUAGUUGCGCAAACCAGUCUGCUAUCCAGAUUUUCACUUUACAUCCCGCUCUGAUCAUCUUGUUAACGUUAAUUGUCUUGACAAUACCCUGUGGAUAGAAUAUAUGAGAAUGUAUAUGUCCUGCUCAGGUCUUGCAAGUUGAACGAUUUGUGUGCCUGUAACGAUGCAGCUCUUAAAACCCCCUAUAACGAUGCUAUAUCACGCUAAAACAAAGCUAUAUCACGUUAUAGCCAACGACUGUACACGAUUUCAUUUAGCGAGACAUUGCUCAAAAGGAAGCUAUAACGCUCUAUAUUUUUUUUUUCAUUAGGGCUCACACAUCGCUAUAAAGUAACCAAUCUCAUUGUGUUGUACUGGCAUGGAUCAUCAUUGUGGAAGCACACCCAAGAAUUGCUAAGGCACGUACGUGUAAGAUUAAAUGUUUAUUUAUACUAGCUUGUGUAUUCUUAUUAGUACCACAAAGGAGAAGUGAACUCACUAAUAUUUCUAGUCUUGGUUAUUAUCCAUGACCAACUACGAACUCACUAGUGAUUUUCAGGUGUUUUGAGUUUCUUAUUCUUCUUGGGUUACUAAGCAGUUCAACCAAUAACCACUAGCAAGAUCUGUAAUCAGCACAUGCAUAUAUAGCAGGAAAAACUAAGCUAGGCAUGCAAUAAUGAAUAAUCGUACGUGUGCAAACACCCAGCUAGCUAGGUGAUAUCAUGCUAAGUACGUGCUAACCUUGUUGAAAUUAAUUUGGGUAUAAUUAAAUUAGCUGGUCAAGGAAUCCUCCUGGACGAUCCCAAGUUAUGAGGGGAGAAGACAAGAGAAUACGGCGUGGAAGGGAACCUGGGCGAUGUGCAUGCGGCCGGAGGGCUCGAAUCCGUCGUAGCAGACGGGCACGGGCUUGUGCUGCAGCAGCUGCCUGAGCUCGUCUUCCUGGAUGCACUCCUCCCCGAUGCUCAUCAGCAGGUCGAGCCGCUCGUCCAGGCUCAUGCUCAUCCCAGCCAUGGCUUCGGUGCCGGCGGCGGAGGAGGAAGCGUCGGUCGCCGCGGAAGGAUCCAUUGACGAGGCGUCGGGUCGUCGGGAGAGGCGAUAGAAGGUGCCGGCUAAGGUUUUACUUAUAUACUAUUACGUUUUCCUAUCUCGAUCGAGAGACUGGAAGUCGUACGUUCCUUCCGUGGCCGCUACUUCAUAUCCUAAAAAAAGUUGAUGCCGGGAACACGUGGGUCCCUGCUUGAAAACCAGUCAUGCAAAUAAAAAAGAAGAUCGUUUUCCUUCCCGACUAAAUAGAAACUUUACGGUAAUGCUAACUGGCGAACGUUCGCGGGAAAGGACUCCCAAUGAAUGAGCUGUCGUUCGAUUGAGACUCGACCAACAGAAAAUACAUUCAAAUCCUCGAGGGUGUCGAAGUCUUCUUCAUACAUUCAUCGGGCAUGCGCACGUGAGCAAAUCAUGCUGCCGCCUCUGAACCUCCGUCUCAACAAAUCAAAUUUGUUUAAACCCAGGAAUUUGUAAAAACAGCAACAAGGAAGUCAUAAUGUAGACCAGAAGAUGCCAGCAGCCACGAUCGGCGUAGCAAAUGACCGCCUCAGGGAAAAAGAAAGAAAGAGAGGGUCUUUAGAAAGCCCCGGUUCCGGCAAAACAUAGUCGGAGAACACAAAUCUCUCUCGCUCCCCUACGAGGCCAUGUUUGACCAACCUUAAUUUGUCGGAACUGAAGAUAGAGGACCAGCACGCACACCCACGUUUUCCACUCCACAAACAGCACAACCGAGACAAACCUGCAGAAGAGAAUGCGGGACCCCGAAGAACCAGAUCUGAGGGCACACAAUCUUCAACACGCCUCCUGACGAUACGAAGAAGUAUCGCCGAAACAAGGAUGAGGGGGGAAGAUUUUAUUCCACGCGGACGGCCUCACCAUCAUCUCACCACUGACGAACGGAGACCUACGUAAGGCCCAAAAGAGGAGACCUAUUGUUUCCACCGGUAGAUCGGGGACUCCCCGCACACCCUCGCCAAUGGAGUCAGAGAGGAGGAGGCGGUGAUCUACCGGCGAAGGAGGAUGACGAUGAUGACGGGGGAGAAACCCUAGGUUGUAUUGGGGAUGGGGCUGCGUUGCGUGAUCUUAAACGACACACCUUGUUUUUUUUAAGAAAGUAUGAUUUUUAAAUCAGGGGGAAAAAAUCUCUAUUACUUGUAUUCCCAACCCACCAGUGGGAUCCAACGUGGAUGACUCCUGACGGAAUGUUGCUGCCGCCUAAGGUUCUUCUCUUCAUCGACUAGCUCCUUUUUUUUUGGAACUUUCAUCGACUAGCUCCUAGUCAUAGUCAUGAAGAAAACGAUGCAUGUGCGUAGUCAUGGGACUUUUUUUUUAGGCAGUCAUGGGACUAUUGCACUGGCACGAUACGAUACAGUGUUGAUACUAAAUUCCAUCUACCGGCCCAAAUAAAGAUACUUUUGUUAAAUUAACUGGGCCCGCUCCUUCCAGCCCAGUUAAAAGGUCGAGGCAGAAGGCCAUGGAGCGUCUAACACAGUUUUUCCUUUCUUUUGUUCACGUUAAAAUAAAAUUUGAAUUUUCUGCAGCAAAACAAAUAAAUAAAUAAAUUGGAGAUGGGAGGUAUCGAUCCCCCUGCCUUUUAUUAGCGUCAUAAAUGCUCUACCAUUUGAGCUACAUCCCCAUUGAUAUCCAUCUAAUUAAUGAAAACAAUUAGUAGUAUCGAUCAAUUAGCAUUAAUAAAUACUACAGAUGGUUCCUUUUUUCUAUAUAAAGAUAUACACACGGAAACUAAAACUGAUUUUUUUAAAGAAAAUAACAGCAAAAAUUCCAGGCUCCAGAAAAACGGAAUAUACACUUAUAUCAAAGAAGAAGGGCUUCCAAGUCAUCUCUAGACAAGUAAGCUCCCAGUGGAUUCACAAAGAAAAAAUAAAUUCACCUUCGGAGCUACUGGGCAUAGUCCGUGUCAACAGAGGCGGCACCAACGGCGAUGACAUUAUCGCCGGUUUUCACCUCCUCAGCCUUUCCCAGCAUUCCUCUCCUAUUCUCAGCCGGCGACACUAUGCCCUAGAACUCCUCGCUCACGAGCAGCACGGCCAACAGGUCGCCCCGCCUGGCACGGUCGAGCUGGACAAAGUACAACGUGUCCUCAUCCAAAUUGUUACCCGUGGCAUACUUGGCCUGCACCGUUUCGUCCUCUUCGUCCUCAACAUAUGCUUUGUAUGUGAGCCGAAGGAGGACCUCGCCGGAUGACCGCUUCCUGAAGAAGCCCACCCUCCGUAUUACAUGACAAUCUUUGAGUGAUGGUAGAACUUUACCCGAUUCCAAAUUGGUUCUCCUGGUAGGCCAGCCACAAUUGUUUGACAGUCGUUGUACUCUUGCUCUUUAUGACUUGAUCACCAAGAAUCAUCAACAUGAAAGAGAGGCUGCAACUGAAAUGAAACGUCUAAACUUUCGCCAACAUGAAAGAGAGGUUUGUGAGAAACAUGAAUUAAGUUUUUAUUCCCUUUUUCAGCUUACGUAAGUGUGGUUCAAUAGAAGCACCUUGGUAAGCGGAAUUUUGGCCCAGGCGCCCAAGUGUUGCGUAACCGUUCGGCCGGAUUCUCCGCGCUAGUUAGACGUUAAAAAUAAUUAGUGCCGCAUGCGGGAAAGGUUGGGUUUUCCUAUGAGUGGACCCUUCGACUGUAUUUCCAUUGAUAUACUAGUACUCUAAUAUAGACCUUAGCACAAAUGUCUCAACCAUAAUAUCCAAGAACAAUAAGGACUGGGCUAGAGCUAUAACUAUUUCAGUCCUUAGAGGGGUGGAUGGGAGCAGUCUUUUUUAACCCAGCUCAAAGUUUGCCUACCUAUCGUACUCUAAUAGUCUAACUGCAGAAAAUUGUUAGAGCACUUUCUUGAUAUAUUUUUUUGCGGGAAAACUUUGAAUCUAUUCAUUUUCAAUCAUGGCAGUACAACAAAUCGUUAGAAAUAAAAUAUUGGAUCCACAGAAAGGAAUUGGAUCUUGACUCUAAACUAAACUAGAAGACACACCGCGCGUGGCGGCGGGAAUUUGUAAAAAGUGACUGUAAUGCGCAUGGAAAAUCUGAAGGGGAAGCUAUCUAUAAAACAUAAUAUAAUUAUAAAUAAUAUUUAGGUUCAGGAUCACAUCUAUUAGGACAUCAAAAAUGCAUGUCUUAUUAUUUUGUACUGACCACAACAAAGUAUAUAGAGAACAUAAUAUAUUUUUCCAUCUUAUCGAGUAACUGCCUACUGCCUAAUAAGAAUAAGAAUAUAAAUUAGAUGCUAUAGUUAUGGCAUAGCAGUUGUGUUUCAGUUCACCAACUUUGAGGAUGUAAGGUACUAUAUCAUAGUGAUGCUUCAUGGGUGUAGUAAUGCGAGAUUGUUCUGUAAUGUAACUUCUGCAAUAAUAUGUUAUAAUCAAAACUAAUGUGAUGAUUUAAGAGAGGCAAAAGUAUUUACAUUAGUCCUGUCACAAUGCCAAAGGUAUAUAAUACACUCAGACAGAUUUUGCAAUUGAACCAAUGGUGUCACUACAAAUGAAGAAUACAAUUUUGAAGAAAAUUAUCAAACAUAUAUAGUCCAGAUUACACACGCCUGUAGGUGCACAAAUGAAUGAAGGUGCUCCAGUGUAGAAACGCAACAUCGUAUGGCAGAAAAAUAAUAAUCAAUCCAAUAUGAGUAUAACAACCAAUCAUCAUCAUACAAAAAGGGCUGGUGCAUAGUUACCUCGUGUCGAAAAAGGUAUAAUUACCAAUCUGGCACUGCUAGCUGUAAGUCAGUUAGGAAGAUAUAAAGAUAAUCCACUUGAAAAUCCAAGGAAGUAAACCCCGCAAAAAAAAAAUCCAUGUACGUAUUUAAUGAACCAAAAUAGAAUGAUGGCAUCGCUAUGUUUUUCAUUGCAGAGAAAUACAUGUGCAAUCGCUAUGUUUUCCAUUGCAUACAAAUACAUGAGCCGAUUAGCAAAAGGUAAGAAAACCUGACCCUCUUUCAGUGCAAAAUCAGUCCAUAUACUAUUGGGCCGUACGCGAGCACUGGCCGGGGUACUCGCGCUCGGCGUCGCCCACCCACGCUUAGGCCUACCGGCGCUGGCGUCCGCGCCCGUGGAGCGGUGGAGGCCGUAGAGAGCUCUGUAGAAGGCUUGGUAUGGAAAGUAUAGAUACAGGAAAGAUGGCAGAAUCGGUUGGGAUUUUUGUAGCGACUCGAUGGAGAUUUAUUUGUCCAGGGAGAUGAAGGUACCUAGUCGUCCGAGCAUAAAUUCUCAAUCGUAAUGGAAGCAGUUUCCUUGUUCACGUCCCGUUAAUUCUCGCAUCGUAACCUAGCUAGCAUCAGUUUCCUAUAUUAAUGGCUAAUCUUCUGUGGAACCAACGCAUGCAAGUAUUGAUUACCCUUUGUUAUGCCUGGCAAGCAAUGGACUCUUGCGUGGAGAGUAUAGCGACUGACCUUUUUUUUCUACUUAUCUGUCACGCGGGAGGCUACCAAAAGUUAUCGCGAUAGUUAAGCUGAAUGGGCUGCAUGACUCACGGCUGAUUGGUGGAGAACUGCUGACGUGGCAGCCUGCUGUUGUGGAUAGGCUGCAUGUUUAGAGAAAUCAAAUGGUGGGGUGCUCCUAUUUAGAUAUAGAAGAUAUGCAGAUUGCAAAUCACAGACAAUUGAAAGCAAAGAAUCAUUACCGAACAAUAAAAAGCUAAGAUUCCUACCAGCAACCAGCAUCACUGAUGGCUCCUAUUACCCAAAAAAAAAAUCUCUUCCCCACAAAAUAUAUAUAAGCCAUAUAAAAGUAGAUUAAAUUUAUAGAGAAAAUUCUCAAUAUCCAUAAUACCAAAUCAAUAUAAUUAUAUCCAAUAAAUGUGUUUUCAUGAUUUAUCUAUCUGGUAUUUAGGUAUUUUUUGAAGAAACAACUUGGUCAUAUUUUUUAAUGUUUGAGUUGGCACCAAAUGACAUGCCCAAUAUUUUUGGAAAGAAAUGAUUAAGAUUUAAGUUAGAAAAAAAUGAUUGCACUAUUAGUUUAAAGGUAGAUCUUUCUAACCAAUCAAUAUAUCUAAAAGAAAAAAUAGGUAAGUGGUUAAAAACCCCACAAAAAAUUUCUUCCAUAUCGAGGCAAGUUUGUGCUUUGAUCAACCAUCUCAGAUGAUAUUUCUUAUUCUAGCAAAAUGAUAUUUCAUGAAGUACUAUUGGCAAGUAUGUUGCAAUAGGUGUUUUUUUCAUGAGCGGUCCCAAAAACAUUUUUGACGAGGUAGGAGGGGGAAGACAAUGAUAUGAAUUGUUUUUAAAAUAAAAUCAGGAGAUUUUCAUAUGUUUUCUCAAAUUUUAAACGGAUUUUAUUGAAUUUCUAGAAAUUUAGUAGGUGCAUGGCCUGCACAUGGGUCCACGCCUGGUUUUCUUUCAUUCUGCCCAGCAUAUGUAUUUUAUAUUUUGUGUCUGCAUAUAACUGUUUUUAGGAUACAAUAUUUUUUGUUGCAGUUGUGCUUUUCUACAAGUAUUUAUUUUAGAAGCUUCUAGAACUUAGUCGCACUGGCAUUUGUUGAGGGUUUUUUUUCGAGAAUCAAUUUUUUUUUUGAAGGGGUAGGUAGUCGCACUGGCAUGAUACGCUACAAUGUUGACACUGAAAUUCCACCUUCCGGCCCAAAUAAGGAUUCUUUUGUUGAAGUGGUUGGGCCUCCACCUUCCAGUUACAAAUUCCACCUUCCGGCCCAAAUAAGGAUCUCUCUCUCUCUCUCUCUCUCUCUCUCUCUCUCUCUUGCCGGUAAAAUAUUCUUCAGCAAAAAGAUUAUCAAAAUAAUAAAAUAAAAUAAGAAAAAUAAUAUGGAGAUGGGAGGUAUCGAUUCCCCUGCCUUUUAUAAGCCGUAUAAAUGCUCUACCAUUUGAGCUACAUCCCCAUUGAUAUCAAUCACAUUAAUUAGAGCAAUUAGUAUUAACUAGUUAUGAUUAAUAAAUAUGUACGAAAGACAAACGGAUGGUUCCUUUCACCCAUGCAAAAAUGGAGAUAUACAUACUUCAUACGGAAACUAAAACAAACGAGCUAAAAGUUCUUUUAAAGGAAAAAAAAUUAGAUAUUAAAUAGGUGCAUGGCCCCCACAUGGGUCCGCGCCUGGUUUUCUUGCAUUUUUUGCACAUGCAUUCUUUGUUUUCUUGCAUGAGUUAUUUUUAUUAUGCGUUUUAAACCGGAAACAUUUUUACAUAGGACUUGUUGUGAUCAUCUUCCAUAGUCUGUCACAUUGAAUGAUUUGUCGCAUAUGCAUUUACAUUGUGUUUUUGUAUAUCUGUAUUAUUGGUUGUUGCGGUUUUUUUUUUUAGAAACUUCUUUUAGGGUUUUUUGAGAAACUUGCAGAGGUUAGCCAAUGUUGUGGUGAGCAACCUAAAAACAAACAAAAAAUGUUAGGCACCAAAUUCCACCUGAGGUCGAAUUACACUUUAUUUUCGAAAGUGGAUCAGCCUCCACCUUCAGCCCAGCUAAAGAAGGCAGAAGCCCAAGCAGCGUGUCAACACUGUUUUCACUCUUUUUUGUAAGGUAUAAAAAGAAUAUCCUUUAAAAAAGCAAGAUGCAAAAAGUAUAUAUAAGAUGCAACAUAAGUGCUCUACCAUUUGAGCUACAUCCCCAUUCACAUUCAUUUAACUAAUCCAACCAGUUAAUAACUAAUUAAUUCUAAUUAACAAAUAAUAAUCAAACCUGCCCCAGUUCCCAACCACAAAUUACAGAUGGUCUCUUCCUUCCAUACAGAAAAAAAAAAGAUAACCAUAAGAAAAAUACAGUAACCUCACAAAAAAUCAUGCCAUUUUCUGAUUACUCUGCUAUAACAAGGAAUAUACAAUUGUCAAAGCGAUGCAAAAAUUUCUCCUCCGUGGAAUGAGUGCGAAAAUCGCGAAAAUCGAAAAAACGGUAGACGCAUCUUCGGUGGAUCAAGUCUGAUGAGAAGAUAACCAUUCUAUGGGUUAAAGUACCCCGAGCCACCAAUGUUGGAGGAGACGAGCAGCAUCACGCUGGUUAUGGCAGCAAGCCAGACCAGGGCCCUAUC